rnacentral:lncRNA from 1 species
UGAAAAUCUUCCUUUAUUCCCACUAAACAGAACAAUCCCAAGUAUAUAUGCUAUGAAGAGAAAAAAUAAAUCUAUAUUUAUCUAGCAUCUCAUGUAGACAAUCAAACCAAUCCUCAGUGACUUGGAGGACUACUCUUCAGCCUCCUCAAACGUUUUUCUCUUCCUGGAAUUUGAUACACACACUGAAACAGAAGGAGCUAAUGUAGCAAUAGAACAAUUCCCUUCACCUAAACUUGAUACGGCAGAGUUUUUGAAGAGGUGAGUAAUGUCAUCAAGAGGUCGCCUAACCCUUCUUUUAAAGGUUUUCUUGGUUGGUGGCACAUUUGCCAGAAAUGGGGUGGCCUGAUUUACAGAGAGUGGAGGGAUAUUUUCUUUGUUGCUGCUGCUGCUGCUGCUGAGGUCACAAACAUUUAUGGACUCCAUUUCGUAAAAUUUUGAGAGGGAUAUUGAGGGAUGGUAUACUAAUUGGUGAGAUGGAGAGGCUAAAGAGGAAGUGAAUAUUUAUCUAUACCAAUGAGUUCAUUUUGGAGGGAUGAUAAAAAUUUGAUGGCUUCAAAGUCUUGUCAAAU